rnacentral:rRNA from 1 species
UAGGGAAUCUUCCGCAAUGGACGAAAGUCUGACGGAGCAACGCCGCGUGAGCGAAGAAGGCCUUCGGGUCGUAAAGCUCUGUUGUUAGGGAAGAACAAGUAUGAGAGUAACUGCUCGUACCUUGACGGUACCUAACCAGAAAGCCACGGCUAACUACGUGCCAGCAGCCGCGGUAAUACGUAGGUGGCAAGCGUUGUCCGGAAUUAUUGGGCGUAAAGCGCGCGCAGGCGGUCCUUUAAGUCUGAUGUGAAAGCCCACGGCUCAACCGUGGAGGGUCAUUGGAAACUGGGGGACUUGAGUGCAGAAGAGGAGAGUGGAAUUCCACGUGUAGCGGUGAAAUGCGUAGAGAUGUGGAGGAACACCAGUGGCGAAGGCGACUCUCUGGUCUGUAACUGACGCUGAGGCGCGAAAGCGUGGGGAGCAAACAGGAUUAGAUACCCUGGUAGUCCACGCCGUAAACGAUGAGUGCUAAGUGUUAGAGGGUUUCCG